AUACGGAGGAUGCGAGCGUUAUCCGGAUUUAUUGGGUUUAAAGGGUGCGUAGGUGGAAGAUUAAGUCAGCGGUGAAAGUUUGUCGCUCAACGAUAAAAUUGCCGUUGAUACUGGUUUACUUGAGUAUAGUUGAAGUAGGCGGAAUGCGUGGUGUAGCGGUGAAAUGCAUAUAUAUCACGCAGAACUCCGAUUGCGAAGGCAGCUUACUAAGAUGUAACUGACACUGAAGCACGCAAGCGUUGGUAUCAAACAGUAUUAGAUACGCUGGUAAUCCACGCAGUAAACGAUGAUUACUAGCUGUUCGCGAUAUACAGUAAGUGGCACAGCCAAAGCGUUAAGUAAUCCACCUGGGGAGUACGCCAGCAACGGUGAAACUCAAAGGAAUUGACGGGG
rnacentral:rRNA from 1 species